AAGAUGGCGGUCGCAGUGAGAACUUUGCAGGAGCAGCUAGAAAAGGCCAAAGAGAGUCUAAAGAACGUGGAUGAGAAUAUUCGCAAGCUCACCGGGCGGGAUCCCAAUGAUGUGAGGCCCAUCCAAGCCAGGUUGCUGGCCCUUUCUGGUCCUGGUGGAGGUAGAGGACGGGGUAAUUUAUUGCUGAGGCGUGGAUUCUCAGAUAGUGGAGGAGGACCCCCAGCCAAACAGAGAGACCUUGAAGGGGCAAUCAGUAGGCUGGGUGGAGAGCGUCGGACAAGGAGAGAAUCACGCCAGGAAAGUGACCCAGAAGAUGAUGAUGUUAAAAAGCCAGCAUUGCAAUCUUCAGUUGUAGCUACCUCCAAAGAGCGUACGCGUAGAGACCUUAUCCAGGAUCAGAACAUGGAUGAAAAGGGAAAGACGAAUAUUUGGCUUGUUGAUGAGCACUCUUCAGAAAUUUAAGCAAGAAUCCACUGUUGCAACUGAAAGGCAAAAGAGACGCCAGGAAAUUGAACAAAAACUUGAAGUGCAGGCAGAAGAGGAGAGAAAGCAGGUUGAAAAUGAGAGGAGAGAAUUAUUUGAGGAAAGACGUGCUAAACAGACAGAACUGCGGCUUUUGGAACAGAAAGUUGAGCUUGCACAGCUGCAAGAAGAAUGGAAUGAGCAUAAUGCUAAGAUAAUUAAAUAUAUAAGAACUAAAACAAAGCCCCAUUUGUUCUAUAUUCCUGGAAGAAUGUGUCCUGCUACCCAAAAACUAGCAGAAGAGUCACAAAGAAAAAUGAAUGCUUUAUUUGAAGGUAGACGCAUUGAAUUUGCAGAACAAAUAAAUAAAAUGGAAGCUAGGCCUAGAAGACAAUCAAUGAAGGAAAAAGAGCAUCAAGUGGUGCGUAAUGAAGAACAGAAGGCGGAACAAGAAGAGGGUAAGGUUGUGGUUCAGCGUGAGGAAGAGUUGGAGGAGACAGGUAAUCAGCACAAUGAUGUAGAAAUGGAGGAAGCAGGAGAGGAAGAG